AGAGCGUAGGGUGGAUGCCUUGGCACUAAGAGCCGAUGAAAGACGUGAUAAGCUGCGAUAAGCUUCGGGGAGGAGCAAAUAUCCUUUGAUCCGGAGAUUUCUGAAUGGGGAAACCCACUUGAGUAAACCUCAAGUAUCCAUACGCCAAUUCAUAACGUAUGGAAGGGAACCCGGGGAACUGAAACAUCUAAGUACCCGGAGGAAAAGAAAGAAACAUCGAUUUCCUGAGUAGCGGCGAGCGAAAGGGAAGGAGCCUAAACUGCGGUGCGUGCACUGCAGGGUUAAGGACUGCAAUAAGUUAUACUCAGAGUUACCAGAACGGUAUUGGGAAAGCCGGCCAGAGAGGGUGAAAGCCCCGUAUGGGAAAACGAAGAGGGACAAGCAGUAUCCAAAGUACCACGAGACACGAGAAACCUUGUGGGAAGUCGGGGGGACCACCCCCCAAGGCUAAAUACUCCUUAGUGACCGAUAGCGCAUAGUACUGUGAAGGAAAGGUGAAAAGGACCCCGGGAGGGGAGUGAAAGAGAACCUGAAACCCUAUGUUUACAAGCUGUGGGAGCGCGCAAGCGCAACCGCGUACUUUUUGUAGAACGGUCCGGCGAGUUGCCGGUGCUGGCAAGGUUAAGCGAUCAAGUCGUGGAGCCGUAGGGAAACCAAGCCUAAAUAGGGCCAAAGUCAGCACAGGCAGACCCGAAACCGGGUGAUCUACCCAUGUCCAGGAUGAAGCGGGAGUAAAAUCCCGUGGAGGUCCGAACGCACAUCCGUUGAAAAGGGUGGCGAUGAGGUGUGGGUAGGGGAGAAAUUCCAAUCGAACCCGGAGAUAGCUGGUUCUCCUCGAAAUAGCUUUAGGGCUAGCCUCGGUGCAAUCUGCUGGAGGUAGGGCACUGAAUUCCCGCGGGGGCGUCAAAGCCUACCAAAGGAUAUCAAACUGCGAAUGCCAGACAGAUGGUCACCGGGAGUCAGACCACACGAGAUAAGUUGGGUGGUCAAAAGGGAAAGAGCCCAGACCUGCAGCUAAGGUCCCAAAGUGCGUGUUAAGUGGAAAAGGAUGUGGGAUCUCGAAGACAACUAGGAUGUUGGCUCAGAAGCAGCCAUACAUUCAAAGAGUGCGUAAUAGCUCACUAGUCGAGAGGUCCUGCGCCGAAAAUGAACCGGGGCUAAACACGACACCGAAGCUCAGGAAUCCGAAAGGAUUGGUAGAGGAGCAUUGCUGAAGCGACGAAGCAGUACCGAAAGGAGCUGUGGAGUUUCAGGAAGAGAGAAUGCCGGAAUGAGUAGCGAGAGAAAGGUGAGAAUCCUUUCGGCCGAAUAUCCAAGGUUUCCAGGGUAAAGCUGAUCUGCCCUGGGUAAGUCGGGGCCUAAGGCGAGGCAGAAAUGCGUAGUCGAUGGACAGCAGGUUGAGAUUCCUGCACCCGUAAUGAACAGAACUGUAGUGACACGGAAGGUAAGACAGAGCCGGGAAUGAGAAAACCGGUGCAAGCACAAUAGAUGUGCGGGAGGAAAAACCCCCGCAUAAGUCGAAGGUGUGACGCGGACCGAAAAAGAGUAGGGAAGCUGUUAAGCAAGCCGUCAAGAAAAGCUGCUAUUGUUUCAUUAUGGCCCGUACCGUAAACCGACACAGGUGGAUGGGGAGAGAAUCCUAAGGCCGGCGGAAGAAGUAUUGUUAAGGAACUCGGCAAAAUGACCCCGUAACUUCGGGAGAAGGGGUGCCUGCGAGAGCAGGCCGCAGAGAAGAGGCCCAAGCAACUGUUUAGCAAAAACACAGGUCUAUGCAAAACCGAAAGGUGAGGUAUAUGGGCUGACGCCUGCCCGGUGCUGGAAGGUUAAGGGGAGUGGUCAGGAAACGAAGCCACGAACUUAAGCCCCAGUAAACGGCGGCCGUAACUAUAACGGUCCUAAGGUAGCGAAAUUCCUUGUCGGGUAAGUUCCGACCCGCACGAAAGGCGUAAUGAUUUGGGCGCUGUCUCGACAAUACAUCCGGUGAAAUUGAAGUGCCAGUGAAGAUGCUGGCUACCUGCGCCAGGACGGAAAGACCCCAUGGAGCUUUACUCCAGCUUGAUACUGGGACCCGGUAUUGCAUGUACAGGAUAGGUGGGAGGCUAGGAAAUGUGGACGCCAGUCUGCAUGGAGCCGCCGUUGGGAUACCACCCUUGUGGUGCUGGGUUUCUAACCAGAGGCCGUGAACCGGUCUGGGGACAAUGUCAGGUGGGGAGUUUGACUGGGGCGGUCGCCUCCGAAAGGGUAUCGGAGGCGCCCAAAGGUUCCCUCAGAAUGGUUGGAAACCAUUCGAAGAGUGCAAAGGCAGAAGGGAGCUUGACUGCGACACCGACGGGUGGAGCAGGUACGAAAGUAGGGCUUAGUGAUCCGGUGGAAUUUAAGUGGGAAUGCCAUCGCUCAACGGAUAAAAGCUACCCUGGGGAUAACAGGCUGAUCACUCCCAAGAGUUCACAUCGACGGAGUGGUUUGGCACCUCGAUGUCGGCUCAUCGCAUCCUGGGGCUGAAGUCGGUCCCAAGGGUUGGGCUGUUCGCCCAUUAAAGCGGUACGCGAGCUGGGUUCAGAACGUCGUGAGACAGUUCGGUCCCUAUCCGGCGUGGGCGUAGGAUAUCUGAGAGGAGCUGUCCUUAGUACGAG
rnacentral:rRNA from 1 species